rnacentral:rRNA from 1 species
GAUGAACGCUGGCGGCGUGCCUAAUACAUGCAAGUCGAGCGAACGGACGAGAAGCUUGCUUCUCUGAUGUUGGCGGCGGACGGGUGAGUAACACGUGUAUAACCUACCUAUAAGACUGGGAUAACUUCGGGAAACCGGAUCUAAUACCGGAUAAUAUUUUGAACCGCAUUGUUCAAAAGUGAAAGACGGUCUUUCUGUCACUUAUAGAUGGAUCCGCGCUGCAUUAGCUAGUUGGUAAGGUAACGGCUUACCAAGGCAACGAUGCAUAGCCGACCUGAGAGGGUGAUCGGACACACUGGAACUGAGACACGGUCCAGACUCCUACGGGAGGCAGCAGUAGGGAAUCUUCCGCAAUGGGCGAAAGCCUGACGGAGCAACGCCGCGUGAGUGAUGAAGGUCUUCGGAUCGUAAAACUCUGUUAUUAGGGAAGAACAUAUGUGUAAGUAACUGUGCACAUAUUGACGGUACCUAAUCAGAAAGCCACGGCUAACUACGUG